CAGGGGCGCCGACUAGUCCAAAAUGUUGGGGGGGCACGGUUGUUUUCCGAAAUCGAUAGUUUAUAUUCGCUAAAUCCUGAUCUACAAUGGCAAAUCGCAGAAUGUUGCGUUUGAAAACAUGAUGAUUGUUUUCACAAGAGUUUGCGUAAGUUUGAUUGUAGAUGAAGUGCUAUGGAAAAAGUACAUUGGUUUUGUUUUUGAAACAACAUGCACAGAUAGAAAUCUUAUGAGCAAAUCAGUUAAAUCUAUGUUGACGAAAUCUCUCAAAUCAUUUACCGAUGACUCUGUGAUCUUGUACUAAGCUUACUGAUUUUCCUAGAGAGCACAGUGGUAUAGAUAAAA